rnacentral:rRNA from 1 species
AGUGAACGCUGGCGGCGUGCUUAACACAUGCAAGUCGAACGAGAACGGAAUAUAGCUUGCUAUAUUUGUCAGCUAAGUGGCGCACGGGUGAGUAAUGUAUAGAUAACCUGCCCUUAAGAAAGGAAUAACAGUUGGAAACGACUGCUAAUGCCCUAUAUGCCUUUAAUACAUAAGUAUGCAAGGGAAACGCUUUAGUGCUUAAGGAUGGGUCUGUAUGGUAUCAGCUUGUUGGUGAGGUAAUGGCUCACCAAGGCUAUGACGCCUAACUGGUUUGAGAGGAAGAUCAGUAACACUGGAACUGAGACACGGUCCAAACUCCUACGGGAGGCAGCAGUGGGGAAUAUUGCACAAUGGACGAAAGUCUGAUGCAGCAACGCCGCGUGGAGGAUGACACAUUUCGGUGCGUAAACUCCUUUUAUAUAGGAAGAUAAUGACGGUACUAUAUGAAUAAGCACCGGCUAACUCCGUGCCAGCAGCCGCCGUAA